rnacentral:rRNA from 1 species
CCCUUAGAUGUUCUGGGCCGCACGCGCGCUACACUGUUUGAUUCAGCGAGUCUUAACCUUGACCGAAAGGUUUGGGUAAUCUUCUAAAGUCAAACGUGAUGGGGAUCGAUCAUUGCAAUUAUUGAUCGUGAACGAGGAAUUCCUAGUAAAUGCAAGUCAUCAGCUUGCGUUGAUUACGUCCCUGCCCUUUGUACACACCGCCCGUCGCUACUACCGAUUGAAUGGUUUAGUGAGAUCUCCGGAUUGGCUCUGUAGGUCCCGCAAGGGAUUUAUUAGUAGCCAAGAAGCUGCUCAAACUUGGUCAUUUAGAGGAAGUAAAAGUCGUAACA